rnacentral:rRNA from 1 species
UCGAACGCGAAAAGCAGUAAUGCUGAGUAGAGUGGCGCACGGGUGCAUAACACGUAACUGACCUGUCCUCGAGAUCGGGAUAACCAUUCGAAAGGAUGGCUAAUACCGGAUAAGCCCACGGCCUUGGGGCUGAGGGAAAAGUUUGGGACCCUUCGGGGCCAAGCACUUGAGGAGGGGGUUGCGGCCCAUCAGGUAGUUGGCGAGGUAACGGCUCACCAAGCCUAAGACGGGUAGCUGGUCUGAGAGGAUGAUCAGCCACACUGGAACUGAGACACGGUCCAGACUCCUACGGGAGGCAGCAGUGGGGAAUCUUGCGCAAUGGGAGCAAUCCUGACGCAGCAACGCCGCGUGGGUGAUGAAGGUCUUCGGAUCGUAAAGCCCUGUCGGAGGGGAAGAUGCUUUUUACGGCUAAUAGUCGUGAGAGGUGACGGUACCCUCAAAGGAAGCACCGGCCAACUCUGUGCCAGCAGCCGCGGUAAUACAGAGGGUGCAAGCGUUGUUCGGAAUUAUUGGGCGUAAAGGGAGUGUAGGCGGUCGUGAAAGUCUUCUGUGAAAUCUACGGGCUUAGCCUGUAACGUGCAGAGGAAACUGCUCGGCUUGAGUGUCGGAGAGGAUAGGGGAAUUCCCGGUGUAGAGGUGAAAUUCGUAGAGAUCGGGAGGAACACCAGUGGCGAAGGCGCCUGUCUGGCUGACAACUGACGCUGAGACUCGAAAGCAUGGGGAGCAAACAGGAUUAGAUACCCUGGUAGUCCAUGCCGUAAACGAUGAUAGCUAGAUGUGGGCGGUAUUGACCCCGUCCGUGUCGAACCCACGCGAUAAGCU